rnacentral:rRNA from 1 species
CUACGGGUCGCUCCAGUGGGGAAUAUUGCACAAUGGGCGCAAGCCUGAUGCAGCCAUGCCGCGUGUAUGAAGAAGGCCUUCGGGUUGUAAAGUACUUUCAGCGGGGAGGAAGGGAGUAAAGUUAAUACCUUUGCUCAUUGACGUUACCCGCAGAAGAAGCACCGGCUAACUCCGUGCCAGCAGCCGCGGUAAUACGGAGGGUGCAAGCGUUAAUCGGAAUUACUGGGCGUAAAGCGCACGCAGGCGGUUUGUUAAGUCAGAUGUGAAAUCCCCGGGCUCAACCUGGGAACUGCAUCUGGUACUGGCAAGCUUGAGUCUCGUAGAGGGGGGUAGAAUUCCAGGUGUCGCGGUGAAAUGCGUAGAGAUCUGGAGGAAUACCGGUGGCGAAGGCGGCCCCCUGGACGAAGACUGACGCUCAGGUGCGAAAGCGUGGGGAGCAAACAGGAUUAGAUACCCUAGUAGUC